ensembl:lncRNA
GAGUGUAAUAACCUCAACAGUUUCCAUAUAGCCAGCCAAUCGCAAGGCUUCUUUUUCUACGUGUGUGUGGGUGUUUGUGUGUGUUAGUCUGUGUCUGUAUGUGUAUGUGUAGUUUCUAAUGUCUUACUCCGCAACGGAUCAUCACAAUGAGCUGGAUGUAUAUCUUUCUACCCAUCGCCUUGGGUGCUGUUGUGUCCUCUUACACCGUAGUGGAGCUGUACGUGAGACCAGGAGAAACCGUUACUGUACCUUGUGACUGUAAACUCUCAUCUGGUGAAACUAUUGUUUGGUACAGGAACUGUUCUCAUGAAAAUCAGCCCCCACUUAUUCUGACAUGGCAGGAAUUAGAGGAGAAUAAGGACUCCAAAAUAUCCAAUCUAAAUGGGAUGUGGAACCAUUCUUCAAAAACAUACACUUUACUGAUUACGAACAUAUCUGAUUCUCACCUUGGUCUCUACUAUUGUCGAACUGAAAAAAAGUAUGUGACAGAGCAAGACCAGAAUCAUACAAAGUAUGAACACAGAUAUGGAAAUGUAACCACAAGGAUUUCAUUUGAUACAAGUGUAGGUCCUUCUCCGAAGGACAUUGAUACAAGUGGAGGUCCUACUCCGAAGGACAUUGGUUUUGGGGACUCUGCUGCUCCAGACUGUGGACAGUGCUGGAUGCUGCUGGUCACACUGUGCCCGUCCUCUGCUCUCCUCUCUUUGGUCCUCUACCUCCUCUGCAGUCAAAUGGUUUGUGCCAGAAAACCCCCUGGCGUCUCUCAGGAAAACAGACCUUUAUUACCGCAACAUGAGGAUGAAAACUAUAGCCGUGUAUUUUAUGCUGUGAUGAAAACUCCACAAAAAUAAGGAUCUCACAGCUUCUUCGUUUGCAGUACGAGUGGGCUUUGAGAGGCGGAUUGGUUAGAGUUCCUCCCUCCACAACACACGCAGCCCAACGCACACACAUAGACUCACUCACAACAACAAACAAACACACAGUCGUA